UACGCCAUCUUUUCUUUCUCUGUGUGGAUGCUGCGCUGGAGCUAGAGCUGGAUUUACUUAGAAAACAGACCAUAAAAGAGGUAUUUUGACACUAACGUUAACUGCAGAAGUUAUGGAAAUAGACAAGAACCAUCAGACGUCUUUGAACCACGUAGAAAUCGAUAUUUCGGCUGGUUUUUUGAGGAUUCUCUUCAGUGGGACUUUGAUCUUCAUCCAUCUGCUGUGUGUUGAUGUCCAUCCACGUCCACAUCUCCAUUUCCAUCACGCUGGGAUCAGCCAUCACCUCGGACCGUCUCGUCAGACAUUCAUUAUAAGGAGGAGGUUUCCUUCAUCAUCAGGUUCACCUGGUGGAAGAACCUGAGCUUCAAGUUCUCCUGGUGGAAGAACAUGAGCUUCAUCAUCAAGUUCUCCUGGUGGAACAACCUGAGCUUCAUCAUCAAGUACUCCUGGUGGAAGAACCGGAUCUUCAAGUUCUCCUGGUGGAACAACCUGAGCUUCAUCAAGUUCUCCUGGUGGAACAACCUGAGCUUCAUCAUCAGGUUCACCUGGUGGAACAACCUGAUCUUCAUCAUCAGGUUCACCUGGUGGAAGAACCUGAGCUUCAUCAUCAGGUUGUCCUGGUGGAACAACCUGGAGGUCAGAACUUCAUGACCCAGAAGACUUUAUAUUAAAUCUUUAAUGUUGGUUCAGUUUAUUUAUGUCACAGAGCCGAUUAUUCAGCACCGUAGAAAAACAAGUCAAAGAUAAAACAUAAAUUAAAUUAAUUAAGUUUAAUUAAAUGAAAACACCACAGAUAAAUAAAAUAAAGAGCAGAUAAAUUCUGAAGCUGAAUGACAGGAAACAACGGCUGAAGAAAAGUAGUUAGAAGAGUUUAAUCUAAAAACGAAAUAAAAGAAAACCCUCAGAGGGAAGAGAACACAUUCAAUUAAUUCAGUUUAAAAAUUAAAAUUAAAUGAAGUCUUAUCCGUAAAUAAAGCUUCUAAAUAAUAAAUCAUGGAGUGCAUGAAUAGCAGUAGUAUUUCAGAGAUCAUAUUUAAACGGACAGGAUUCCUCCUUUCAGUCAGUAAAUAAUAAAAAUCACUUUGAGGAUCAGUAACCAGGAGCUUCAUCAUGACGACUGUUUUCUACCUUCCUCUGGUUUAAUAAACCUCCGUUAAUGAAGAAACUAUCUGCAAACGAACCCGUAAUGAAAACAGUAAUCAGCUGCAGAAAAAUGUCAAACCUGAUGAGGAAGUUUAUGAGGCAACGAUAAAAUGUACGAAAUAAAAGGUGUUGGUGUCACCUGGACAAUGGCUCUAUUAUAUAGUUCUGUUAUCACCACUGAGGGAAUCUAUAAUAUAUAUUUACAUUAUUAUUACUGCAGAAGUCUAUUAUUUAUAUAUUUAUAUCAUCAUUACUGUAGGAAUAUAUUAUUGAUUUAUAUUUAUUACUGUUUGUGCCGAGGAGCUGCAGUGAUGAAGAGUUGAUUAGAAGUGAACCAGUGUUUCCUACAACACGUCAUCGACCUCCUAAAGUUCAGCUCCGUUUCCAGUUCAGGAGGAGAUGAAUCAGGUUGUUGUCAUUUUUAGAUUAAAUUAAACUUUAUUGUCAUCAAACAGAUGACGGGUACUAAGAAAAAUAAAAUGUUCU